AAAAAUAUUCAUUUAAUUUAUUUAAAAUAAUAAAAUAAUUAUUCCUUUUGUUUCUUUUUAGGUUCUGCUGGAGAUUGAAGGCCAUUUAUGGAGAUUUUGAAUAAGGGACAAUGUUGGCUGCCUUGGACCAGAAGAAUUUCAAUGGCCGAUUCUGAAGAUGGUGAAUCUGAGCAGAUUUAACCGGUACUGUUCCAGAUAAGCUGGUGGACUAUCGAUUAAGGUGGUUCCGGAAAUGGAAGGUAAGUGUAAUGAAUUAUCAUGGAAUAAAAAAGUGUUCUCUUUUUUUUUUAUAAAAAAGUGCGAAAAAUAAAAAUGUGGUUCGGGUUUAUAUAAAAAAAAUUUGGUUAUAGUGUGUGCGAAAAGUGAGUAAUCCGUAAAAUCGU